AUCUACGGCCAUAGAACUCAGAAAACAUCGCAUCGCGUCCCGUCAGCUCCGCGCAAUUAACCUGGGUGUCGCUCGGUUAGUACCGACGUGGGGGACCAGUUGGGAAUCCCGAGUGCUGUAGUUU
rfam:Kwoniella mangroviensis CBS 10435 unplaced genomic scaffold supercont2.3, whole genome shotgun sequence.